GGGGAAUUUUGGACAAUGGGCGCAAGCCUGAUCCAGCCAUGCCGCGUGAGUGAAGAAGGCCUUCGGGUUGUAAAGCUCUUUCGCAAGGGAAGAAAACGUGUGGGCUAAUAUCCUGCGCGUAUGACGGUACCUUGACAAGAAGCACCGGCUAACUACGUGCCAGCAGCCGCGGUAAUACGUAGGGUGCGAGCGUUAAUCGGAAUUACUGGGCGUAAAGCGUGCGCAGGCGGUUGUGUAAGACAGGUGUGAAAUCCCCGGGCUUAACCGUGGAGGGUCAUUGGAAACUGGGAGACUUGAGUGCAGAAGAGGAAAGUGGAAUUCCAAGUGUAGCGGUGAAAUGCGUAGAGAUUUGGAGGAACACCAGUGGCGAAGGCGACUUUCUGGUCUGCAACUGACGCUGAGGCGCGAAAGCAUGGGGAGCAAACA
rnacentral:rRNA from 1 species